rnacentral:rRNA from 1 species
UACGGGGGGAGCAAGCGUUGUUCGGAUUUACUGGGCGUAAAGGGCGCGUAGGCGGCGCGACAAGUCACUUGUGAAAUCUCCGGGCUUAACCCGGAGCGGCCAAGUGAUACUGUCGUGCUAGAGUGCGGAAGGGGCUACUGGAAUUCUCGGUGUAGCGGUGAAAUGCGUAGAUAUCGAGAGGAACACCUGCGGCGAAGGCGGGUAGCUGGGCUGACACUGACGCUGAGGCGCGAAAGCCAGGGGAGCGAACGGG